rnacentral:lncRNA from 1 species
UCAUUUUAAAAGUGUGUGGCACCCACUCUCACCCCACUCUCUUUCUCUUGCUUCUGCUUUUGCCAUGUGAAGUGCCUACUCCUGUUUUGCCUUCCACCAUGAUUGAAAACUCCCUGAAGCUUCAAGCAGAUGCCAGCACCAAGGAUUCCUUUAAAUCCUGCAGAACUGAAAAUUGGCCUGUAAGCGUCUCCAAAAAUCUGUUACGUAUAUGUAUACCUUCAGGAUGAACAGGCUGGAUGUUUUGAUAUACCACCACCACCUAGACCCUCCUUCAAAAACAUAUUCUCCCAGGAUUUUAGAGUGCUGCCAGAAGAUAGCUCUCAGCUAUUAGCAGUCAUUGGAGACAAUUAUCUCACUCAAGAUUAACCCAACCUCUUGGGCAGCCGCCAUCCAAUAAUUAGGCACUAUCAGAAUAUAAAGACCCAGACCUCUUUCUCUAGCUUGGGAUAACUCUGUAGUGCCUUCCAGACUGAGAACUCACUUUGGGGUAAGAUAAGUCCCUAGUUAUGACUGCAUUUUAGGUCACUAUUUUUCUAUACCUAAUUGUUUUCUUCUCAUACCUUUUGCAGGUAAUGUUCCCAAAUGAACACUUCUUAACAAAUCAUUUGCAUGCUAACCUUUGUCUAGGGAGCGUCUUCCCUGGGGAAUUUAAUAUGCCAUAGAUGCCAUGUUCUCAAGCCUUUCUACUACAAGCGGUCAGAAAAGAAUUGUAUGAUUUUUUUUUUCCUUUUAUUCUUAACAGUUCUUAGCAUGGCACAGUAUACAGGAUAAAUAUAUAUUAAAUUAAUCUAGUUUGUUUAAACUCAUUUUCAAUUUAAACAUAAUAAAAUAUAAAACUUGUGGAAGUCUGUUUGGAUCUAAAGUACAUGCCUUUUCCAUUAUAUCACUUUGCACUAACACCUCACACAAUACCUUAUGUUGUUUUAGCAUGCAUUAUCUUUCAGAAUAAUGACACAUCUCAGCAUUUGUUAACUCAUUGAAGAAAUUCUAUCAGGCAUUGAAAGUGGCACUACAAAAAUAAAUGACUAGGGCAUUGUUCCUGUCCUAGAGAUGUUCAUGCUGUAGCUUAGGGAAACAAACUAAAAUAUGGAUAAGCACAAUAUAAUGAAAUGAGGGUUAAGAAAGGGGCAUUAGCAAAGUGCUAAGUGAAAAAGAAGGAACAAGUCUGCUUCUAUGGUGCUCUACUGUGACGUUUUCUUUUAGAAAAAGUGAUUAACCUGAAUGUAGAAGGGUAUGUAAUUUUUUAGAUAAACAAGUAGAUGAAGGCGCAUAAAAAGGGUGCCGCAGACAUAAGGCAUC